CAUAGAGGGUGAGAAUCCCGUAUUUGACCAUUAUUUUCAGCUGUGUGAUACACUUUCAAAGAGUCGGAUUGUUUGGGAAUGCAGUCCAAAAUGGGUGGUAAAUUUCAUCUAAAGCUAAAUAUUGGCGAGAGACCGAUAGCGAACAAGUACCGUGAGGGAAAGAUGAAAAGAACUUUGAAAAGAGAGUUAAACAGUACGUGAAAUUGUCAAAAGGGAAGCGUUUGACACCAGUGUUGUUUUCUCGAAAAUCAAUUAAAAAAAGUUGGAUUUUGUGUUGUAUUGACCUUAACAGCUUGCUUCACUCUUUUCCUGCUUUUUUUAAUGCACUUUUCGUUUAACAAGUCAACAUCAGUUUCUUUUGUUGUAAAAGGGUCAUUGGAAGGUGGCUUUCUCUUCGGAGAAAGUGUUUAUAGCCUUUGAUCUCUGCAAUCGGAGAGACUGAGGUCUGCAGCGUAGAUCCUUCGGGGUUAGAUACAUUUGUGCUAAGCUACAACUUUUCAUAGACAACUUGUUGACUAUGUUUAGUCUUGUGACUUACCCGCUUAUGCUAUUU
rnacentral:rRNA from 1 species